GACGAACGCUGGCGGCGUGCUUAACACAUGCAAGUCGAACGGAAAGGCCCUGCUUUUGUGGGGUGCUCGAGUGGCGAACGGGUGAGUAACACGUGAGUAACCUGCCCUUGAUUUUGGGAUAACUUCAGGAAACUGGGGCUAAUACCGGAUAGGAGCUCCUGCUGCUUGGUGGGGGUUGGAAAGUUUCGGCGGUUGGGGAUGGACUCGCGGCUUAUCAGCUUGUUGGUGGGGUAGUGGCUUACCAAGGCUUUGACGGGUAGCCGGCCUGAGAGGGUGACCGGCCACAUUGGGACUGAGAUACGGCCCAGACUCCUACGGGAGGCAGCAGUGGGGAAUAUUGCACAAUGGGCGGAAGCCUGAUGCAGCAACGCCGCGUGCGGGAUGACGGCCUUCGGGUUGUAAACCGCUUUCGCCUGUGACGAAGCGUGAGUGACGGUAAUGGGUAAAGAAGCACCGGCUAACUACGUG
rnacentral:rRNA from 1 species